GCUCAGGAUGAACGCUAGCGGAGCGCCUAACACAUGCAAGUCGAACGGUACUUCGGUACAGUGGCAAACGGGCGAGUAACGCGUACUUAACCUGCCCCGAAGUUGGGAACAACCAUGGAGACAUGGCUAAUUCCCGAUGUGUCCUCAGAAAUGAAAAUACUGAGGAGAAAGAUUUAUCGCUUUGGGAGGGAGGUGCGUCCUAUCAGGUAGUUGGUGAGGUAGUGGCUCACCAAGCCUAUGACGGGUAGCCGGUCUGAGAGGAUGUCCGGCCGCAAUGGGACUGAGACACGGCCCAUACUCCUAUGGGAGGCAGCAGUGGGGAAUAUUGGACAAUGGGCGAAAGCCUGAUCCAGCGACUCCGCGUGGAGGAUGACGCGUUACGGCGUGUAAACUCCUUUUCUGGUGGAAGACGAAUGACGGUACACCAGGAAUAAGCAUCGGCUAAUUAUGUGCCAGCAGCCGCGGUAAUACAUAAGAUGCAAGCGUUAUCCGGAAUUACUGGGCGUAAAGCGUCCGCAGCUGGACUUGUAAGUCUGUUUUCAAAUGCCCUGGCUCAACCAGGGGAAGGGAAUAGAUACUGCAAGUCUGGAGUUUACGAGGGGUUAGUGGAAUUUCCGGUGGAGCGGUGAAAUGUGUUGAUAUCGGAAAGAACGCCAAAAGCGAAGGCAGCUAACUAUUGUAAAACUGACAGUCAAGGACGAAAGCUUGGGGAGCGAACGGGAUUAGAUACCCCGGUAGUCCAAGCCGUAAAUGAUGUUCGCUAGGUGUUUCUCGUAGUUCAACGAGGAGUGCCGUAACCUAAUGGGUUAAGCGAACCGCCUGGGUAGUAUACUCGCAAGAGUGAAACUCAAAGGGAUAGGCGGGGGAACACACAAGCAGUGGAUGAUCUAGAUUAAUUGGAUAAAAAGCCAAAAAUCUCACCUAGACUUGACAUGCUCUUUGUCGUACGUGAAAGCGUACUAUCCUAGCAAUAGGAAGGGAGCACAGGUGGUGCAUGGUCGUCGUCAGCUCGUGCCGCAAGGUGUCUAGUUAAGUCUAGAAACGAGCGCAACCCUCAUCGUUAGUUACUUUUUCUAACGAGACUGCCCUCGCAACAGGGAGGAAGGAGAGGAUGACGUCAGAUCCUCAUGCCCCUUACGUCUAGGGCUUCAUAGGUCAUACAAUGGGUAGUACAGAAAGAAGCAAUACCGCGAGGUGGAGCAAAUCUCUAAAGCUAUCCUUAGUUCGGAUUGUAGUCUGAAACUCGACUACAUGAAGUCGGAAUUGCUAGUAAUGGCGGGUCAGCACACCGCCGUGAAUAUGUCCCUGUUCCUUGCACUCACCGCCCGUCAAACCACGGGAGUUGGGGUCCUCUGAAGCC
rnacentral:rRNA from 1 species